UCCAAUAUGGUCUAGUGGCUAGGAUUUGUCGCUCUCAUAUUGCAGUAUGUAAGUGCCGACAAGGCCGGGGUUCGAUUCCCCGUGUUGGAA